GGCCGGGAGCGAGCCGCCGUGACGUCACGGGCCACCCGCCAGCCCCGCGCUCUACCAGGCAGAGCGCGUGUGGCCGCCGAGCACAUGGACCCACUGGUCAAGCGGGCUCGGCAAGGCCAGGAUGAAGAGAAGCUACGAACUUAGCAUUCCCAGAGCCCCCCGAGUGGAUAUCCGCGUGGAAAGGAUGUUGGCAGCCCCGGUGACCUCGGAGUCACGGCUGGAUCCACCCUCUUUAUACCCUUUAAGCGUUCCAGAAGGAUUUUGAGAUCCUUUCCUAAAUCAAAGGUGGAAUAUUUGGGGAUUUGGAAAAUUGAGGCUUCAGAGAAAUCAGGAGCGGUGAAUGAUCGAAAUGGACCUUUGAGAUUACAGUGUGGAGCUGACAUUGCCAGUUAAGCCUGGGCAGAUCUGACUUAAUUGAUUUAGUUGUUGGAGCAGAGACAACCCAGAGGCUUGGAUCAGCCUCCCCAUCUGACAGUGUGCUGAUGUGAAGCGUUGACUUAAGAGAUGCCAAGUAACUCAGCAGAUGUCACACAGACGAUAAAUAGCAAAGAUGGAAGUCUUCAUGCCGGAGGCAAUCCUAUAAGACAGCUGAGUUCUGCAGAGCUGGAGACAGACUUGCUCAGGUGAUAGAUCCAGCCAUGAUACUGACCCUAAGAGAAUGAGACGCUCUGCAGAAGACAGAAGAUUCCUGAAACUGGGAAAGGUGCCUAGAAAUCCUGAUAAGAGUGAAGAAGGGUACCUGGAGGCACAGCAGCCAUGUUGAACCUAUGAGGUGAUGAAAAACCAUGCAACUAGAAACCAGAAUGGAAGAAAAGAAGAAGCUGGAUCCUUGACUGAAUUGUCGAUGGGGGAUAGUCCAUCAUCCCAGGGCUAAGACCACCUCCAGAUUUCUUGUUUGGUGAAACAAGUCCUGAUUGUUUACAUUCCCUCGUGUUGAGCUGUCUCUUGCUUGUAGCUGAAAGCAUUUCUAAUAGAUAUUCAGAUUAUCAGCCUUAGCUCCAAGCUAGAAUACUCUAUGGGACCUUAGCUUCUCCAUGAAUUCCUUUGCUCAUCUGUGUAAUGCUCAAUAAAUGUAAAUUGAACCCUGAAUGAGGGACAAUGACA
rnacentral:lncRNA from 1 species